GAUGAACGCUGGCGGCGUGCCUAAUACAUGCAAGUCGAGCGAACAGAUAAGGAGCUUGCUCCUUUGACGUUAGCGGCGGACGGGUGAGUAACACGUGGGUAACCUACCUAUAAGACUGGAAUAACUCCGGGAAACCGGGGCUAAUGCCGGAUAACAUUUAGAACCGCAUGGUUCUAAAGUGAAAGAUGGUUUUGCUAUCACUUAUAGAUGGACCCGCGCCGUAUUAGCUAGUUGGUAAGGUAACGGCUUACCAAGGCAACGAUACGUAGCCGACCUGAGAGGGUGAUCGGCCACACUGGAACUGAGACACGGUCCAGACUCCUACGGGAGGCAGCAGUAGGGUAUCUUCCGCAAUGGGCGAAAGCCUGACGGAGCAACGCCGCGUGAGUGAUGAAGGUCUUCGGAUCGUAAAACUCUGUUAUUAGGGAAGAACAAAUGUGUAAGUAACUGUGCACGUCUUGACGGUACCUAAUCAGAAAGCCACGGCUAACUACGUG
rnacentral:rRNA from 1 species